rnacentral:rRNA from 1 species
GCUNCUAACGCUGGCGGCGGGCCUAUACAUGCAAGUCGAGCGGACAGAUCGGGAGCUUGCUCCCUGAUGUCAGCGGCGGACGGGUGAGUAACACGUGGGUAACCUGCCUGUAAGACUGGGAUAACUCCGGGAAACCGGGGCUAAUACCGGAUGCUUGAUUGAACCGCAUGGUUCAAUUAUAAAAGGUGGCUUUUAGCUUACCAUUNCCAAAGGGCCCGGGGGGCCAUAACUUAUUUGUGGAGGUACCGGUUACCCAAGGCAACAAUCCUUACCCCCNUGAAAGGGGGUCCGGCCACUUGGAACUUGAAACCGGCCCAAAUUUCUACGGGAGGCAGAAUAAGGAAUUUUCCCAAUUGGACCAAAGUUUUAACGGAACAACCGCCCGGGAAGGAAANAAGGUUUUCGGAAUCGUAAAACUUUUUUGUUUGGGAAAAACAAA